rnacentral:tRNA from 1 species
AAAAAUUUAGUUAAAAUAAUAACAUUAGUUUGUCAAACUAAAAUUAUUCACUAUAAUAAUUUUUA